AAAAAUAUUCAUGAAGUAAUUAUAUAGUAACUAGUAAAUGCAAGAUAAGCUACAUAUAAUUUUUAUCUGUAGAAAACUAUUGCUAGUGUGACAGGAAAUUUAUUUAUUUUUGCUUUAUUUUUACAAUUCCUUGAUGAAAGGUAAAGCUUUGUUUUUGUGACAGAUUUAGGCACUGUAAUUUGGUGUUUCUUAGCUUUGUAGUAACAGCCAGUUCUCUCCCUCUUUUAUCUUUAAUAAAACCUCUUUAG
rnacentral:lncRNA from 1 species